CAAGGCAGAAAUUUUUAGACGUAGGCUGACGUGGAAAUUCAUCUACAUCCAUUCCAAGGGAGGCCACAGUCACGUGACCCACAUCAGAAAUUGACAGAUUUCUUUUUUUCUCCCUCACUCGCUUUUCCUCUCUCUCUCUCUCUCUCUCUCUCUCUUUCUUUCUUUCUCUCUCUCUCUUUCCCUCAUACACACACACACACACACACACACACACACACACACACACACACACACACACACACACAUAUACGCGUGAGUGUACAUGUGUGCGAGCGCGCUCAUUUUUACUGAGUGAGACACAUAUAGGCUUGUAUGCUGGUAGCUGCGGGUGAGCCGCUGCGCUCCACACUACAGCGAGGCUGAGAUUAAAGCAAAACACAUGUUUAUCCCCAUCUAAACAACAUAAACACAACAUUGAUACCUUACAACUAGCACAAUCAAUGCCAAGGCCAUGUCAAGUAUGUCCAUGUCCUCGUAACAGACCUAAAAAACAAAAGCAAUGUCAUGCAAGGACUGUCUGUCCUGAGUGACCUUAACUAGGAAUCUCUGUCUUCCAGACGAUAAUUUUGUGAGCCCAGCUAAGGUUUGCUCCACGUCACAUUUAACAACAUGAAAUUAACAAAGCAAUUGCUAAAUUCCUGAGUCACGUCACUUUCGCACAUUUGGCCUUUUUGUGAAGAUUCAAAUACUGUAUUAGUUUAAGUGCAUGUGGACAAAUUUCGUUCGUGUGAAAAAGGAAAGAGCACAAUUUUCGUUGACAGGACUGCACACAAAGCAAUAGAAUAGAUGACAUCAGCAUUAGGCAGUGGGGGUUCAGCGUAUGAAGGCAAUAUGUCAAAAUCAUGAGAAAAUGCUUUUGAGAUUUCACAGCUGUCACUGAACGAUGUCGGUAUAAGCCUUAACAUUACUUUGGGGAAAUCUGGAAACAAUCAGUGCCUGCUAUUGCACACCAAAAGGCAUCUACACACAGAGGAACGUCAGUGUCAAUGUGGCUGUGGUGACCUUCGUCACUACCGUGAUGUUCAGACUGCUCGGUGCCAAAUGUUGUUUGUGACUUCCUUUACCAGGUUGUUCAGUGUGCAUGUGUAUAAACACAACCCAUUUGUUUUUGAAAGUUCUUUUAUGGGCAUUUUUCCCAAAUAACUCCAUAAUUAAAAAAAAAAAAAGUCUACUAAACAGUGAAUUUAAUAGUAAGACCCUUAACAGACUUUUUGUUUUACAUGUUUAUGGAAUGUGUUGACACAGACCAUUGAAAUAAAUUGAAAUACAUUUAAAUUAAGCUUGAACAGACCAUUUUCGUCUCCUUACAGAUUUGCAGUAAUAGAAACACCCGGUCUGAAGAUAAUCCGCACAUAGAAUUCGGUAAUUGAAUCUGCAAAAUUUGAAACGUUGCUCAUGCUGCUCACUUAGCUUACUCUUUAUGAAUGGCAAGCCUCUCUAUUUAAACAAAUAUGUUUUGAACUGCACUGAUAUUUUAAAAGGCUCAACGAAACAACCUAACACAAAUGAAACGAGCUGGCCUAGUUUAUCAAAGACUUAACCCUUUCAUGUAUUUUUUAAAUGUUUAUAAAUUUUUUGUAAAAACCGUAUCACCCACAUUAACAGAACUGUUCGCCAUGCAUGGAAGGGUUUUAAGAUACCAGGCUUAGAAUAAAAUCUGAAUAUAUCAUUUUUAUUUGAAAUAACUUCCCCUUGGCUUGCUUAACCAAUAGUUCUCAUUGUCUGAGUGACGUUGGUCUUGGCAAUGCUUACGAGGGUCUGAGGAUAAUUUGGUGUGACCGUAAGUGCUAAAGCACGAUUAGGCUCUGGAGGACCCCACAUUGCCCCUGCCACACCGUGUCUUAAUUCCCGUGCAUGGAGCACGUCUCGACAGAACGCACACGACGAAUGAGUAACUCGAGCUUCAUAAAGCACAAGCCAGCGAGUUGUAAGACUUGGCGCAAUGGAACUGAUUUCAAAGUCGUCCUUGUCGCUGUAAUCCGGGUUCAGCGUCGUCCUGGCGGUGGAGUGACAUUUGCCUGCAAAAUAGCGACUGGAAAACAAAACGGUGGCCCAGAAACCACACGCUCCGCCUCUUCGUCAACUUCUGACAAAUUCCGCGCCGUGUGUUGGAAAGCUUUCAGCAGUAAUUGGGGCCCGGGUGCCACGGAAAUACAAGGGACAGAGACAGACAUGAAGCUUAACUGCGCCUUUUCUCUCUACCUUUGGCUGUAUGGUGGGCUGCUCUGCCAUUUUAACACAGCAGACAGGACGGAGGUCGCCAGGCGUGAUGAAGAUACACACACACACACACACACACACACACAGAAAUAAGCACACAUCUCAGCACGUAGCCACUGGCAUCACAAAAACACAAAGAAUCUGCAACAUGUGUAAUAACAAAGCAAGAGUCUGUUCUGCCCCAUUGUUCACAAUCCAGGACGUCUAAUGCUAGCCUAACCCCCCUCAUGUGGCCACUGCAGCCUUGGCUAUGCGGUCGACUUCAAGUUCGGGGGAGGGGGGACGAGUCACCCGCGGCGUAAGACGAGAAGAGACUGCAGACGCCAUACAAAUCCACGGUCUGUACCAAGGAUGGACUUCCAGCCACCAGGACUUCCUCAUGAACUCUUUUCAGUGGAAAUCUUCACGGCACUCAUUAGGAAAUGGGGAGGAAAGGAAAGUGAACACGACGCUCGGAAAUAUAAAAAAAGUAAUAUAGACACACAAAAAGGACAUACAGGAAAGCACCAUGCAGAGGAACGACGAAUUAGCAGAAUGGAUAAUGCAUGAUGGUGACGAUACAUGCUCUAGAACCGUGAGGGUUCAAAUACGUCCUAAAUAUUUCCAUAUUUUCCUAAUUUUACCGACUUGUGGGCAAAAAUUUGGUGGGAGAAAGAACAAGCCUAUCUAGUGUCUAGAGGCUGGAUAGUGCUGCAAUUUAGGCCCAGUUUGUCUAAACUGUUCUGUUUUUGUCAUGGCUCCUCAAAAUGCGCCAAAUAAACGGACUCAUGCACCUGA